rnacentral:misc_RNA from 1 species
UGGCUCCGGCAUNGAUGAAGAACGCAGCGAAAUGCGAUAAGUAGUGUGAAUUGCAGAACUCCGUGAACCAUCGAAUCUUUGAACGCACAUUGCGCCCUCUGGUAUUCCAGGGGGCAUGCCUGUCCGAGCGUCAUAUCUAGAUUCGAGCGAUGCUCGGUCCUGGGUCAGGCUCGCGAGGGCCGACCAGAAUUACAGUGGUAGCUUCUGAUAGUGUCUGUGCGACGUGAAUAAUUCAAACGCAUUAGACGCCUCAGAUCUCUGCUAGACAAUCUCGCAAAAUAGUUGACCUCGGAUCAGGCAGGGAUACCCGCUGA